ACAGGCUCUGUUGCCGCGAUUAGCCAAUGAGCUUGUUAAAAAUAUAUAUAUACAUUACCAACAGAGGCCGUAUUAAUGCCAUGAGGUAAUACUUGUUCUCACUUAAACGUGGACGUUCUGUUAGAGCAAAGUUUACUGCGGUAGAUACCUUGAAAGGAAAUGUCAUAGUGAAGUUAGUGUAUUACUCUUCCGGUACGAAGAGAUACAACGGUAUCCGAUAACUAGUAACUAUUGUGGCUACUAGCGUAAAACAGGAACUACAGUACAACGGCAGUCACACAUCACACCAGUGGGAGGAACCCACUUUACAACAGUGGCGACGAGGAAAAACAAAUUUACGCGGAGUGAAAAAAUAGAAAAACAUUCACACGGAGAGUUUAAACUGAUUCACGUGGAAAAUUAAAUAACUCGACAAAAGAGAAACAAAAUCUUGUGCAACUUACAAAAAUUGUAAAAUAUGGAAGACUUCUUAGCUGGGGUAGUUGAGUUGCAAAAACUGCAACAACAACUCAAGGAACAAUAUUAUUUUGUGCAAAAUGUACUCUUGUUUUAAUCUCCAGCGAAGAGAUAAAUCGCCACCAACUCCAGCGUCGAAACCACCAGGUCAUGGGAUUUGGACCUUCCAUGGUUUCAUCCUCGAGGGACAGCUAAAUAUUACCUCUCGGUAAAUGGACAUCUAACUGUUCAAAGAAGACUUCAAAAGUAAAUAGCAGAGAUUUCUCUUGAAAAUGCACAAAAUUUCGUAUUGUGGUGUUAUCAAGUACCAGCAGAAAAAGGACAUUCAUGUUGACAUGGUUGCUACAUUAGGAGAUGACACUCCAGCUUCAUCAACAGUGCAGAAGUGGAAAGCUGAAUUUAGGAGAGCAACGGAGAAUCACUGAAGAUGACUCGUGGUUUAGAUGAGGAAAACAUUGAUCGUGUUCACCACUUGCUAACGGAUGAUGGGCGAUAGACCAUACACCAAAUAGCCAAUGCUAUAUCUUGUGAGAGAGUUGCGAAUGUUCUGCACAAUGAAGUUGGCAUGAUAAAGGUUUCUGUUCGGUGGGUGCUGCAUCUUCUGACACCUAAUCAAAAGUGCACCAGACUGAUCAUAUCACAGGAAAACCUGACAUUGUCUGAAGCAGAUCCAGUUGGUUUCCUUGAACGCUAAGCUAGGAUGAGUGUUUGGUUCAUCACUUUGAGCCCGAGAUAAAGAGACAAUGCAGUGGAAACUCUCCCCACUCUUCUGCUCCAAAGAUAGCCAUAGUUGUUUCAUUUGCAGGGGAGGUGAUGGCUUCAGUUUUGGAGGAUGCAAAAGGCGUUGUGCAUAUUGACUAACUUCAAAAGGUCACUUCAUUAACAGAGAGUAGUAUGCCAACAUACUGAGGCAGUUACAAAAGGCUAUCAAGACCAAACGCCCAGGAAAACUGACAAAAGAUUCUUGUUUCAUUAAUACAAUGCUCUAGCACAUAAGUUCUUGGUUUCAACGACUGCUGUGCGUGAUUGUGGCUCUGAAUCAAGAGAAUAAGGAGAGUGGUCAACACUCUCCCUAUUCUCCUGAUUUGGCCCCAUCUUAUUAUCAUCUGUUUUCCAACACACCUGACUGGGAAUGGGUAUUGUAGUGAUGAUGACGUCACAUCGGCAGCUGAUGACUUUUUUGACCAACAGGUUGAAAACCUCGUCACCAAUGGAAUCUAAGCACUGUAAAACCGACAGAAGUGUGUGAACCACAAAGAGGACUAUGCUGAAAAAAUAAACCUCAUUUGGUCUCAUUCCAUAAAGGUAUCUUAGUCAUUUUUAUGAACAUUUCAGUCGACUUUCUUAUUCUUCGUUGAGAUCAAAGUAGUCCUUCAUAUAUUCACAUUUGCUUUCCAUUCUUGCUGAAUUCAAUAAAAUGUUGCUAAUUAA